rnacentral:rRNA from 1 species
GACGAACGCUGGCGGCGUGCUUAACACAUGCAAGUCGAACGGAAAGGCCCCUUUGGGGGUACUCGAGUGGCGAACGGGUGAGUAACACGUGAGUAACCUGCCCUUGACUUCGGGAUAACUUCAGGAAACUGGGGCUAAUACCGGAUAGGAAUCCUUGCUGCAUGGUGGGUGUUGGAAAGCUUCGGCGGUUUUGGAUGGACUCGCGGCUUAUCAGCUUGUUGGUGGGGUAGUGGCUUACCAAGGCUUUGACGGGUAGCCGGCCUGAGAGGGCGACCGGCCACAUUGGGACUGAGAUACGGCCCAGACUCCUACGGGAGGCAGCAGUGGGGAAUAUUGCACAAUGGGCGGAAGCCUGAUGCAGCAACGCCGCGUGCGGGAUGACGGCCUUCGGGUUGUAAACCGCUUUCAGCAGGGGCGAAGCUUGUGGUGACGGUACCUGCAGAAGAAGCACCGGCUAACUACGUG